UACGUAGGGGGCAAGCGUUGUCCGGAUUUAUUGGGCGUAAAGAGCGUGUAGGCGGCCAGGUAGGUCCGUUGUGAAAACUCGAGGCUCAACCUCGAGACGCCGAUGGAAACCAUCUGGCUAGAGUCCGGAAGAGGAGAGUGGAAUUCCCGGUGUAGCGGUGAAAUGCGCAGAUAUCGGGAAGAACACCCGUGGCUAAGGCGGCUCUCUAGUACGGUACUGACGCUGAGACGCGAAAGCGUGGGGAGCCGAACGAGG
rnacentral:rRNA from 1 species